rnacentral:piRNA from 1 species
UUGUCCCAUCACUAAUUUAGC